CUCCGCCCACGGGCCCGAGCGGCCUGCAAACCACCACCCCCGCCCCAGCCGGGUCCCCCAGCAGCGGGCCAGCGGACGCGGGAGCGGUCAGUUCACCGGAACCUGCCCGGGCCACCUUGGGCGUCCCCAUGCCGUGUCUACACGGGGCCCAGUGCCCUAGGCCGGCGUGGGACCAGGAGGGAGAGGCCUCACCUUGAGGAUUUCAUUGGAGCCGAACCCGGACAGCAUGAGGGUGUCCCGCUCCAUGUCCAGGAUGGCACAGGCCACCAGCAGGCGGAGGACAUCCGGGAAGGGGAACUCUCUCUUGAACCAGAUGAGCAGCCACCGGAAGCAGAAGCAGAGAGAGCCCGAGUCUUGGGAGUCUGGGGGAGGACAGGGCGCCAAGUCAGCCUCGCCCACAGCCGGAGCACCUGCC